rnacentral:rRNA from 1 species
GCCUACGGGAGGCAGCAGUGGGGAAUAUUGCACAAUGGGCGAAAGCCUGAUGCAGCGACGCCGCGUGAAGGAUGAAGUAUUUCGGUAUGUAAACUUCUAUCAGCAGGGAAGAAAAUGACGGUACCUGACUAAGAAGCCCCGGCUAACUACGUGCCAGCAGCCGCGGUAAUACGUAGGGGGCAAGCGUUAUCCGGAUUUACUGGGUGUAAAGGGAGCGUAGACGGCGAUGCAAGCCAGAUGUGAAAGCCCGGGGCUCAACCCCG